AUUGAACGCUGGCGGAAUGCUUUACACAUGCAAGUCGAACGGCAGCACGGACUUCGGUCUGGUGGCGAGUGGCGAACGGGUGAGUAAUGUAUCGGAACGUGCCCAGUCGUGGGGGAUAACGUAGUGAAACUUACGCUAAUACCGCAUACGAUCUAUGGAUGAACGCGGGGGAUCCCAAGACCUCGCGCGAUUGGAGCGGCCGAUAUCAGAUUAGGUAGUUGGUGGGGUAAAGGCCCACCAAGCCAACGAUCUGUAGCUGGUCUGAGAGGACGACCAGCCACACUGGAACUGAGACACGGUCCAGACUCCUACGGGAGGCAGCAGUGGGGAAUUUUGGACAAUGGGCGAAAGCCUGAUCCAGCCAUUCCGCGUGCAGGAUGAAGGCCCUCGGGUUGUAAACUGCUUUUGUACAGAACGAAAAGGUUUCUACUAAUACUAGGAGCUCAUGACGGUACUGUAAGAAUAAGCACCGGCUAACUACGUGCCAGCCGCCGCGGUAA
rnacentral:rRNA from 1 species